CCUCCGGUAGCUCAAUUGGAAGAGCAUGGGACUAUAAACGGUUCAACUGGCCAUCCCAAGGUUGCUGGUUCGACCCCAGUUCGGAGGA